AAAAGUCUUCAGACUUUUCAACUGCAAUCUCUUCUGUUGCCAGUAAUGCAGAUUCCACAAAAUGCUAAUGGAAUUGAUUUCAUCAGAACUAAAGAAGGAAGGGAGGAAAAAAAUCUUUUAAACAUGGCACAUUGCCAUUCCGAUUCUAUGCUAGAUGCUAUUUAUGGCAUCCAUUAAUGAUGCUUAGCUAUGCAACGUAUUUGAUUUCUGUAAUUAAUAUAAUUCAUCUAAAGUCUUUGGAUUGCAAAAAUGGAAUGCUACUGAAGUUAUUUGCCUGGGUGAGCUUCAUCUUUUCCUAGCUUUUAGGAUUGCAUUUCUUGCUCACAUCAACGUCAGGCACAAAAACCUUGGUUUAUAGAAAAAUAUAUGGGCUGAACUGCAAUGAUUUAUGUGGAAGAAAGAGCAUUGACACCAAAUAAAUUCCUUCAAUUCAAUGAUGUAACACGUACCAUCUUUGACUAGCCCAAGGAGAAGACAAAAUUGGGAAAAAUUCUUUUUAGCAGGCAUGCAUUCACAAUUACACAUUCUUUGAUAAAAUCAUCGAUGCAUUUCUGAAUUUUUUUUGUUUUCACAUGUUUUGUGUAGUAUACUAUGUAACAUUGUCCUAUAAAUAUGUUGAUGAAGUGCUUCUAUUGCCAACUUAUUCAGCUUCGGCUUUCUUUUUCACAUUUUCCAGUUGGCAAGGAGCAAGAGAGCUG
rnacentral:misc_RNA from 1 species